rnacentral:lncRNA from 1 species
GGUAUUGUCUUACCUUAGUCUUGUCUGGCUUCAAAGUUUGGCAAGUGACUGGGUAGUUCAAUAGUGAGGAGCAUAGUUUGAUUUUUCUCGCUACUCUCUAAUGAGCAUUAAAUAGAAACUACCUGAAACCUCUACCCUAAGAGCUCUGUUGGGUUCAUAGGUAGAUCAAGGGGAAAGAGAAGCUUAGAAAGCCUUUUGUUUUUGGUGAUGGAGUUCAAUAUGAACG